CGCCAUAGACGAAGCUGCAUGAGACCAGAGAAUCUCUUGGUUUGACAAAUCUAUAGGAUAUGUUGAGAACACACAAAAUCAGUCAGUCUUAUCGUGAAAUAACAGUUCUGAAGUUGUGUUGACAGUCUAACUACUCUGAUAUAGCUGAUUACUUUUUUUGCACAUGAGAACGGGGCUGUGGUUUUUUUGGGUGGUGUGAUAGUGGCUCUGGAACGAAUACGCAAUAGGUUCAACUCGGAGAUAUGCUCCUAUUUAUUCAUUCCCAGAUGUUCCUUGCCCCUGUGGUGCCGGGUCUUGCUUAGUUCUGACUUCAAAAACAGGGAAAAAACUCGGUCAACAAUUCCAUCGUUGUCCUGCUGGACAGCAAUCAUCACAUAGCCUGUCUCAGUUUGUUGUUGAGUGACUGAACAGUCACGGUUACCUCCUCUGUUUGUGUAGUGGAAACUAGUUUGUACAAGAUAUUGGA